AACUUGACUCAAGAACUUCUUGGACGGAAAAAACCGGUGCUACAAUGUGAGCUUGAGUUCCAUAAGAGAUUGUUGAACAUGCUCAACUGCUCAGAGUAUGGAGAUAUGUCAGAUGUCGAUCUUGUCUUUUGUCCUAUUCUUCAAAGAGGUUGUUACGUAGUUUUAUGUUUCAAUUUCAAGCAUUCCAAGAUUGAUAUUAUUGACAAAAAGGAUGCUUCCUGGAAUAUUGAAUGAAAAUUAUGGUGGCUAUGCAACAAUAUUGGCUAAGGCGUUUUCUAACUAUUUGGAGUCAAGCGGUGAUCCAAGAGCCGAAAAAGUUUUGAACUUUGACCUAAAACUAAUCAAAAUGCAAUGGAGAUCAAAUGAGCAUGAUGAUAUCAAUAGUGGUGUAUGUGCAAUGAGGUACAUGGAAAUGUAUAUGGCGCAAGGAACUUCUUCGUGGGAUACUAACUUAAGAAACAACGUAAGAAAUUUUCCUUUUAGGUUGUUUUUUUGUAGUUAUAUUUGAUUUUAAAGCUAAUUAAUAUUUGUUUAUUUUUAGGCUCUUUUUCUGAAAACUUUGAGAGUC